rnacentral:tRNA from 1 species
GCAUCGGACACCUAUCGGCAAAGGCAGGCAGUCUGCAAAACUGUCGCUCAUGUGAGCUGUAAAGGUUCGAAUUCUUUCCGAUGCGCCA